AGCCGCCCCUCCGUCCGUGCGCCCCGGCCCGGGCUCCGCGGGGAUCCGGCGCCAGGCCCGCGCCUAUCCCGGGAACACCGAUCCCGGGAACACAGCAACGCCUCUCCCGGGAAUACGGCAACGCCUCCCCCCCCCUCCCCAGCUUUACCUGCGCCGGGCUCGCAUCGCGGGGCCGGGGCCAGCGCUGCCCCCCCCGGCGCCCCUCGGCCGCCGCCCGCCCUCCCGCCGCCCUGCGCGGGGCCGCAGGUGUGUCAUGAGCGCCGAGCGGGCCCAGGUGAGCCGGGCACACCUACAGGAAGGCAGGCGGGCCGCCCUGAUUGGCGAGCGGGGCCGCGGCCGCGCUCCGACGGCACCGCGGCGGGGCAGGGCCGGGCCGGGCCGGGCAGGGCGGCCGAGGGGCCGCCGCGGGACACGGCGCGUCCUGUGCCCGCUCCUCUCCCCGCUCCUGCGCCCGGCCGGGAAAAGCCGCCCCCGACGCGUCCGAGCGCAAGGUACACUGGUAAAUAUCUUGAGCAGCCCUGCCUGCAUCAAAGAUUUGUUUGGCUGUGCUCAGCUGUGGACUGAAAGGAGACAGAACAUCGGUUCCCAGUAAAGGCUUGCACAGGUGUGUGUCCUCCAGGAUGUGCUCUGAGGAGUUCAGCAAAAGAGAGGAGGGAGCUUGGCCUGACCAGGGACAUCGUACUUGUGCUGCUGCCUUCUGAUUCCAUAACUCCUUUGUGUGGAUGUCUUUUCCCAGCAGAGUGGAUCAGCUUCUGCCAUUGAGAUUCCUAUUCCACAUCACUGUGUUUACAGUCAACAGUGAGGAAAGGGAUACUUCAAAUUCCCAAAGGUCACAAAAUACUGGGAAAUCAACUCUGGAUCAUGUCUCUCUUAGGUUGGUGCUCAAACUUCUGGGACAUUACAUAAAUAGGUGAUGCUUCUUCCUACUGCAUUUUAGAAGUUCCUAGCGCUGGCAGUAGGCUGGAAUUCCUCAUCCUGACUGGAAAACAGCACCUCUGUCAUUCAGAAAAGGGCAGCUCAUUGUCUAAGAAGGGCUUAAUCUUUAUAUCUGUCCUUGCACCUCCAGCAUCUGCAGAGGCAAUUUUCUGUUUGCUUUUGUGAAUCAUAUCCUGAGAUACCUUGCUUUCUCUGGCCAUUGCACAGAGAGUUUGAGUGCCUGACUUUUCUUCAUGCCUUACUUGGGUUGAAAAGUGCCUGAAGUUAAAAUGUGGAACUCUCAGUAUCACUACCUGUAUCCUUCUGUGGGCCAAGCUCUCAUUCCCUAACUUCGUGGGAACUGGACUCCCUAAAUUCUGUGUGGGCCUGUGCAAAAUGGCAGUGCCAUUGAAGUGCUUCUGCCAGUGACAAUGAAGAACAGGUGGGCUCCAAAAUCCCUGAGGCUGGCUGGCACUUCUGGAGACCAUCUAGCCCACCCCCUGGCUCAGAACAGAGUCAGCUGGAGCUGCCCAGCGCUGUGUCCAGUUGGGGUUUUAAUAUCUUGAGAGUCCACAGUCUCUCUGGGCAAUCUGGCCCAGUUUAACGAUCCUCAUGGUAAAAGAAACGGUUUUCUUAUGUUUAGAACAUCUGCAUAUCUGGAACCCUGCACAGGGUAAGCAGGAAGUCCCUCAUUUGUGGAAGUGAGCUUGGGCCGGACUUAGUCUGGGAAUCUGCUUCCGUGCCAGCUGUAGGUGCAGUUUUAAGGGUGAACUCCUGCUGUUGUCUGGCAGAGCCCUCACUUAUCCCAGAGUUAAUCUUCACUCAAGAUGAGGAUGGGCUGAUAAUACAUCUUUCUCUGAGAGCUGUGGUUUCAAAAAUUCAGCAGUUUCACUCCUGUGAUUUUGCAGUUUGUCUUCUGGAAGGGAUGUGUGGAAUAGAAACAAUGAAGAAGUAAGACCAAAGAAGACAGAAGCCCAGAGGCAAAAAAGACUCCAAACCUGCGUGCAGAGGAGCUUGACAGAGAAGAGGCUGUGCAUGGACAGUGGUACUGAUGACAAAUCCUCUUUGGUCCCUUUGGCUGUUCAGCCAUUAAUCUUUGGGAAAAGUGAGUGGCAGGAGCCUUUGCUGGAAGUGGCUGUGGGGCACAGCAAGCCUUGGCCAGGAGGAGCAGAAGAUAUUUUGCCGACUGAGUCAUGGGUUGAUUUUGGAGUUUUUUUAACUGCUUGUCAUUCCUGGAUGCAAUUCUGAGAUUAAAAAAAGCCAGUAUUUGCACAGCUUUUUGAUUUCUUGGGACAAACCCUAAAUAUAGAAGGGGUGGCUUUGUCCACAGUUUCAGCUGCUGCAGUCGUCAUCGUCAUAAAGGCAGGGAAACAGACCCAAGUGCACCAUGGAAGUUUCUCUUAGGCUGAGAAAAUAGGUGCUGCAGCUGAUGGGACAGUCUCUGCAAGAAGAUGACAGGCUGUUGGAAAAGACAGUGAGCAGAACACUGCACUGCAUGGCAAGGAACAAGGCUGGCAGCCACAUAUUUCUGGCAUGAGCCAACUUUCUCUUUUCUUGGAAGAGCAGAUACAGCCUUCAGCCAGUGAGGAAUGCCCCUGCUGGGAGAUGGCUGGCUUGAGCACUGAUGGCAAAGAAGGUGAAGCAUCAAGAGACUCAGAGCCUGAGGAAUUUCAGGAUCUUCUCGGGUUAAACUCAUUGAGAAAGGAAUUCACUUUUUCUCCACAUGCAUCAGUGGCUUGGUACACAGUGAGAUGCAAGGUGCAGGUGAAACCCACAGUCACAUUAACAUGAGCAGCUACAUCCCAUGUUUGCCAAAUGAAAGCAAGGGCCUGAAGCUCAGGCAGGAUGUGGCUGCCCUAAGGCAAACCCUGAAUGCUUUCACAUCAACCCUUGUGCUCCGAACGGGCCUGACCAUGCCAGGUAAUUCCUCAGAUUUAAGGGUCCAGAACAAACACCAUCAUGUUUUUCCAUCUCCUUUCACUUCUCUAAGAAUAUGAGGACUUGUGUUCAGUGAUUUUAAUUCUCUAUCUAGACACAGAGGGAAUUGUUCUGUUCUACUCCCUGCCCCCUGCAUUCCCAUUUCUGCUUCCCUUCUUGUAAUAAUUGUUAAAAUUGUUUUCAAUAAAGCAUCUUGUGGUUCAUUUUUGACCCUAGGUUCACAUAAAGGUUUGAUCAUCUGUCCAAUGAACUGGGAAGAUGCCUGCAAUCUCUCUAAUGCACACUACAUGUAAACUCUGUUUUUCCUGUUUCACUUGGUAUAUCUGCCUGCCUGAAGGCGGAGAGAAAUCAAAGGUCAGCUGUUAAAGAAAUCAGGCAAGAAAAGAAAGCAGUUGACCAGCAAAGAGGCAUCUUCUUAAGCACAACAGCCACGUGCAGAGCUGUGGGAAGAAACUUCAGUCCCUGUACUAGGAAAGAUCUGCUAAGGCUGGGAAAAGGAAAGUCCAAGGACAUAACAUAGGCCUGUCCAAAGCUCUGCCAUCUGUAAAGGCAGAGUUCUGCAUCCUUUGAGGUGAUUUGGGGUAAGCAAGGUGAGGCUGCUCUUUUGUGAGGGGAAACUCUGACAGAACAGGGAGCGACACAGAGAAGCCUCCUCUGUGGUUCUGUGCUUAAAGAUGGGAGGGCACAAACACCUGAACCAGGGCCAGGCAUUGCUCAGCAGGCUGUGGGAAAGGUCAGCUUGAGGGAAAGACACAGCAGGCAAUGCCCAAAGCAGCACAUGACCAGCAGCAGAGCAAUUGCAAGAGCUCUGGAAAGCAAAACAAAGUAAGUCCAGCUAAGUCCACCACAGGGUUUGCUGUGGUGGCAGAGUUAUUUUGAACAGCCUGUCCCUAUGGCUGUUUGGACAAGUCCCUUGGAAACAAGGAAACACAUGAGUUUGCACAUCUUUGCAUCCAUGAGGAUGUUUGGACCUGGUAUGUCCUGCUUUAAUCAACAGAUACUUUCAUCAGGGUUGGCAUGGGAAGGGUAAAGGCCCUGCAGAGCCUGGGACACAAAAGUGUAAGCAGCAAAGCAAAGUACUCCAGCAAUGCCUCUUCUAGCCUCCCUUUGCUUUGUUUCCUGAAAUUUCCUGUAUUUCCUUUUUUUUUUCAGAGAUGGAGGCUCCUCCUGUUGUGUCUCUGGCUAGUCAGACCAGUGUUGUUGGGGUAAAGGGAAAGCACAGCCAGAAAAAAGAGUCUCCUGUGCAUGCAGGGACACUUUUGUUUGUUUGAUGUAUCUCAAAAAAUGUGUUAGAGCUAACACAUAAAAUACUUAUUAAAAUUUAUUAAACACAGAAAAAACACACCUCUUUUCCAAGAUCAAAAGAAAUCUGUUUUCCCAGCCACAAACAAUGAAGCAAAGAAGAAUUUGAGAGUAAAAGCAGCCGUAUUUCAGUGAUCACUGUUACAUGUAUUUUUUUCAGCAGGGGACUGGACAACUGGAUCCCAUAUAACUCAGGUGGAAGAACUGCGAAAAUAAUCUCCUCAGAACAGCUGCAGCUCUGCUAGAACCAGGUUCAGGUACCACUAGGAUGGUUUGUCACUGCAGAGUAAAAAAGACAAACCACUUUCUCUCAUAAAGGAAUGGUGAGCAAGGAGUGCCCUCCUCUGGCUUUUCAGAUUCUUGCAGAAAUGUUAGAAAAUAAAGACUAAUUCUAAGAAUA